UUCCAAAUUGACUCAGUCAUGCAACAUUCUGGAACAACAGUGCACCACCUCACUCUGUUUGCGUCCUAAUAUUUAUGAAAGCUAUGUUUAAAAUCGACAAUCUAGUUAAGCCAGACCAAUAAAUUUCAUGACAGCACAUUAUUCUGAUAGCAGCCUGGACUGUACUGGCUGCUUUUUAAACAGAUUCCAAGAGAGAAACAGAAAGCCAAAAAAGAAACGUGCAGGGUUUCAGACGUGGAGGUUCUGCGUGCUGAAGAAAUCAACACUAUUAAAAAAAAGCCAGGUGCUUUGAAACGGAACAACUGGAAAGACUUCCUGGGGGAAUCUCAAGAAUAAGCAAAAUUUUUCCGUCCGGAGCAGAAAUAUGUGAAGGUCAAACAUACAACUAUAAAUAACAUUAUUGUGAAGCAUCCACUGGAAACAGAGCAAUGGAAGGAACUGCAGAGAUCCGUCAGUACUGUACAAUGGCGUGUUUUCAAAAAGAAGAAAAAAAUCUAUAAACAAAUAGAAGCUUAAUGAAUGGGACUUAAGACUUGCUUUAAUGAUGAAUAAAGAACUGUUAAUAGAACUAAAGAACGAUUUUCUAAUAAGAUAUUGCAGUAAAUAUCUUUGUAAAAGAAAUAACUGGGGAGGGGGUAACAACCGGGAAUAGUGAGAUGACUCCACAUUAAAAGCGCUCACCAUACGA